CAAACCGACACAGGUAGUCAAGAUGAGAAUUCUAAGGUGAGCGAGCGAACUCUCGUUAAGGAACUCGGCAAAAUGACCCCGUAACUUCGGGAGAAGGGGUGCUCUUUGAGGUUCACGCUUCGAAGAGCCGCAGUGAAUAGGCCCAAGCGACUGUUUAUCAAAAACACAGGUCUCUGCUAAACCGUAAGGUGACGUAUAGGGGCUGACGCCUGCCCGGUGCUGGAAGGUUAAGAGGAGUGGUUAGCGCAAGCGAAGCUACGAAUCGAAGCCCCAGUAAACGGCGGCCGUAACUAUAACGGUCCUAAGGUAGCGAAAUUCCUUGUCGGGUAAGUUCCGACCCGCACGAAAGGCGUAACGAUUUGGGCACUGUCUCAACGAGAGACUCGGUGAAAUCAUAGUACCGGUGAAGAUGCCGGUUACCCGCGACAGGACGGAAAGACCCCGUGGAGCUUUACUGUAGCCUGAUAUUGAAAUUCGGUACAGUUUGUACAGGAUAGGUAGGAGCCUUAGAAGCGUGAGCGCUAGCUUACGUGGAGGCAUUGGUGGGAUACUACCCUAAUUGUAUUGGAUUUCUAACCCGCAGCACUUAUCGUGCUGGGAGACAGUGUCAGGCGGGCAGUUUGACUGGGGCGGUCGCCUCCUAAAGAGUAACGGAGGCGCUCAAAGGUUCCCUCAGAAUGGUUGGAAAUCAUUCAUAGAGUGUAAAGGCAUAAGGGAGCUUGACUGCGAGACCUACAAGUCGAGCAGGGUCGAAAGACGGACUUAGUGAUCCGGUGGUUCCGCAUGGAAGGGCCAUCGCUCAA
rnacentral:rRNA from 1 species